rnacentral:tRNA from 1 species
GUGGUUCUGGAUACGGUAAGGCACAGGACUUUGACUCCUGCAUUCGUUGGUUCGAAUCCAACUAGCCCA